AAGCUUGUGUCAUGUUUUUCCACAGACAGCUGUACUAAAUAUUUAGUACAAUACUGUGUGCAAUCAAGACAGGUUUCAAGACGUUUUUAAAAGGGUACUUUUGAUUUACAGCCACUAAACACAUUUUCUAAACACAAAAACAGAUUGAAAUCCACAAACCCUCUAGCAAUAUGUUUUU